rnacentral:sRNA from 1 species
UUUGAUUGCAGGUAAGCCUUGUUCGUCU